ensembl:lncRNA
UUAGUGAUGUCAUCUAACACCAGGUGGAGCUGCAUUUCCUGCAAAGGGGGCUGGCUUCAUUUCCCACCUGUGGAAGCUCACUGCUGCAGGUGUGUCAACCAGUGUUACCUCCUGCAGGGAGGGGCAAAGAUUUGAUGGGCCGAUGAGCAGGCUGUGGGGUCAAAGGUGGACUCGGGGACAAAGAGCAGGAAAUGGGCACAGAGGAGGCAUUCGGUGAAAGAAAGAUCGUUGUCCUCAGGGGCUCCACGGAUGAGGACAACCUCUGCACUGUUCUGUUCAGUUGACUGUACGGGAGAGUUUUCUGCCUCAAGUGUUUAGGACUCAACCUCUGGAGUGAUUCCAAGAUGGAGACAAUUUAACCUUUCUGCUCUCUCAUGGGGUCCAGAUGACCCCCCCCCUACAUGGAUGCGUGAACCCUCCCAGGACAAAGGUGCAGGAUUUUAUGUCUGCCACAGACACCAGUGAAGAUAAAAAAAUCCUUUUAAAAAAAGUUCAUAGCGCUGUCUUGUGGGUCCAGAUGACCCACUUCACUGUAAACAUGUCAAGGACAGCACAAGGGUUACAAAGCAGGAACUCUGAACUUGAAUUGAUCUUGAAGGUUUACUCUGAGCCUGAGGACCGGUCACAACACGCUCCAGUUUCUGUGAUGGAGCCAUCUUAACCCAUGGAACCGGAACUCUGUCAUCCUCUCAUCAUCUCCCCCCCCCCCCCCCCCCCCCCACCAACAGCUAAAAACUAAACUAUUAUAUUAAAAUAACUGUGGACUAAAAUUAACUUUAGACAUCAGGAUUUCUCAAAAUACUGGAUCAUGUUUUAGAGCUUCUGUUGUAGCAGCACAUGCCCACCCUCAGCUCCACCUCUGGGCGUCUUGGAGGUGACUGAUUCAGACAUGUGUGUUCAAUUUAGCAUGCCUAUUUGUGCAGGUUUUCAAAGAUUCUAAAGAUGUUGGAAAAUCAUCUAAAGAUGCCAUCCAUCCAUUUCCUUAAAAAAAAACGUGGUCGGUUUGGGGAUCACAGAGUUGCUGGAGCCUAUCCCAGCUACUGUUUGGGCAAAGGCGGGGCACAUCCUGGACAGGUCACCAGUCCACUGGAGGUCAUUGGUAAACUACUUUGCCAUUAUCCGUUUGUGGAGUAAAUUCAAAACAGAAACAAAAAAAAAAAAAAAAAAAAAAACAGUUUUUAUGAGAAUUUUGACUCUGAACCUGCCAGCAACCCCGCAGGGCAAAGCAAUAUUUUAUUGAUCCCAUUGAGAACAACUGUGCUCCUCUGAGUACAAAACAUAUGACAUGUUCAGAGGUUAAUUGGUUCAAUGACCUUAAAUGGAGCAGGUGAAACAGCAGAGAGGGUGAUCUGGCUGUUCCUGGAUUUGACCACAUUUGGCCUUUGAUGGAAAAAAGUUUGAGCUCAAACGUAGAACAGUGCAGUGUCCACUCAUUUUGUUAUUUUUUGUUUGUUUUUAAUUUGUCCUUUGCAACAGCUGAGCAAACAGAUACGACCUGAGAACCUCUAGUGUUGGGCAAAUUUUACUGUCACAACAGGGAUUGUUUUAUACUAAACUUUAUUUAUAUUGAUUAUGUUUGUAUCUUUUUUUUUUUUCGAACAAGAGCAAUGAUAUAAACAGAAAGAAAUGAAACGAGCAAAACAAACAAACAAACAAGAAACAAAGUAAACAAAGUCAUUUCUCUCACAAUCAGUCUUGAAUGCAACAAGAGAUGUUCAUCGUUCAAAAAAGGGCUUUGGAUGAAGCUAAUAGCUUAUCAACUCCGAGCCCCUUUGACCUUUUUCUUUUUUUUUGUCUUUUUCAGCCCAAAUUAAAUAUACAAUUUCUCAUUCACUAUAUUGAGCUACAUGAACAAAAAUAGAUUAAAUUUCAUUAAUGAAAAGAACAGCGAAAACAAUCACAACAUUUAUAUAAACUAAUAUUCAUAUAAAAUUCAACAUAUCUUUACCAUUGUCUUCAUAUUUAUUAAUUUUAUUACAUUUGAUGAAUAUUUUUAAUUUAUGUAAAGUUUGACAACUUUUAAUAUCUUCCCUACAAUUAUUCCAUAACUGCACCCCCCUUGUGGAGAUGCAGUGGAGUUUAAUGUUUGUUCUUACAGGUGGUUUGACAUAAAUGUUUAAACCUCUUAGCGUAUAUUUAUUUUCUCUUAACUGGAAGAGCUUUUGGAUACUUUCUGGGAAUUGUUUGUUUUUUACUUUGAACAUAAAUUGGAUUAUUUUGAAUGAAUGAAUGAAUGAAUGAAUGAAUGAAUGAAUGAAUGAAUGAAUGAAUGAAUGAAAUGGUUUAUUUCAAGCAAUCAGGUUAUAAUACAUGGAAUAACAUCACAUAAUAAAUCACAAAUAGAUUGCUUGAAAGGGGGUGGAAGGAAGCGAACUUAUAUAAUCCCACCCCGACUCGACCAGUACCAUUUUCUCUACAUGAAUAAUCAAUAUCCGGUUCAGGACUUAAAAUCAAAUAUCAAUAUAGUUUCAGGUAAUAAAAGAUCAAUAAUAUCAGUGAUGUAAUAGAAUUUCAAAAAACAUCCAUAGACAAAUCAUUUAUAUUUUGAAAUCAAUCAAGUCAAAAAAUGUCAACAGUUUUAAUUUGAUAAAAAGUGGAUUUGUUGGUUCAGUGUAAGGAGAGUUGGUGAUUAUUCUUAUAGCUUUUUUUUGAAGAAGAAAGACUGAAUUUAAGGAUGUUUUGCACGUACUUCCCCACACUUCCACACAAUAACUCAUGUAGGGAAGAAUAAAUGAGCAGUACAGAGUUUUUAAUGAUUUAAAUAAUGUUUUAUUUUAUAUAGUAUAGAUAUAGAUUUAGAUAUUUUGUUAUUAAUAUAGUUUAUGUGUUUCUUCCAGCUUAAUUUUUCAUCAAUUAUUACACCUAAAAAUUUGAUUUCCGACACUCUUUCAAUUCCAACAUUAUUAAUCAUGAGUUUCCUAUCAGUAUUGACUUUUCUGUUACCAAAUAUUAUGAACUUAGCUUUAUUUAGGUUUAGUGUUAACUUAUUUAAAUCAAACCAACUCUUAAAUGUUUUGAGUUCUCUUCCAGCUGCCUCCAAUAGCUCUUCCAAGUUGUCUCCAUAGCAGAACAAGUUCGUAUCAUCUGCAAAUAAGAUAGUUUCCAACAAGUUUGAGAUUUCACAAAUAUCAUUGACAUACAGUAUGAAUAAUAGCGGACCCAAAACUGAACCUUGAGGAACACCAACCUUUACUGACAAUGUUUUUGAUUUUACCUGAUUUAUGUCGACAUACUGCUCUCUGUUGUGCAAAUAACUACGAAGCCAAGUUAGGGCCAGUCCUCUCACUCCAUACAUGUGCAGUUUAUUUAUUAAUAUGUCAUGAUCAACCGUAUCGAAAGCUUUUUUUAGAUCUAGAAAGAUUCCCACUGCAUAUUGUUUUUUUUCAAUUGCAGAUGAUAUAUUUUCAACAAAGUUUAUUAGUGCAAGUGAAGAUGUUCGUUUCUUCCUGAAGCCAUAUUGAUGGUCAUGUAAAAUAUUGUGUUUAUUGAUGAAGGAGUCCACUCUAACAUAAAACAAUUUUUUAUUGGUCUAUAGUUUGUCAGUCUUUGCUUAUCCCCACCUUUAUAUAUAGGUAUGAUUUUGGCUUUUUUCAUUUCACUAGGAAAUACUCCAGUUUUGAAAGACUGAUUACAAAUGUAGGUGAAUGGUUUUGCCACACAUUCGAUUAUGUUCUUAACAAAUACCAUGUCCAAAUUACUGAUAUCUUUGGAAUGCUUGUUUUUGAAUUUUCUAACUAUGUCGAUGACCUCUUUUUCAUCAGUUCUUUGUAGGAAUACAGAAUCCAUGAUUUUCAAGGUUUUUUUAUUAUGCUAUCUAUAUUAUCGGUAGGUUGAAAUUCCUUUGCAAGAUUUAAUCCACAGUUUACAAAAUAUUUAUUGAAGUCGUUAGCUAUCAAUGAUUUGUUGUUUAUGAGCUCUUCAUUUGGAUUUAUGAAGUGAGAAGGAAAAUCAGAUUUUUUCCUUUCAUCUUUGAUGAUAGUAUUUAGUAUUUUCCAUGUAUUCUUCAUAUUAUUUUUAUUAUUUUCGAGUAAUUUCAUGUAAUAAUUUUUUUUGUUUUCACGUAUUAUUUUUUGUUAGUUUGAAUAAACAGAUUUGUGUUGUCCCUUAUUUAUAUUUCAUUAACCUUCUUUUAUUAUUAAAAACUUAAAUACAACACUUCUGUGAAGUAGCUUUAAUAAACAAGUAAAAAUAGAGCAAAUAUAAACUAGGAAAAAAAAAAUCAUAUUUUCUUGUUCCACAAGUGAUAAUCCUGUGAGACUUCAGCUUUAUCUUUAGAGUUAUUUAACAUUUUUAACCAAAUGUGAUUCCUGUCCUCAUUAAAAGUCAUAAUGAUGACUUUGUUGUAGCAUGGAUUUGAUGAUAAGUGUUC